UACGGAGGGAGCUAGCGUUGUUCGGAAUUACUGGGCGUAAAGCGCGCGUAGGCGGCUUUGUAAGUUAGAGGUGAAAGCCCGGGGCUCAACCCCGGAACUGCCCUUAAAACUGCAUCGCUUGAAUCCAGGAGAGGUGAGUGGAAUUCCGAGUGUAGAGGUGAAAUUCGUAGAUAUUCGGAAGAACACCAGUGGCGAAGGCGGCUCACUGGACUGGUAUUGACGCUGAGGUGCGAAAGCGUGGGGAGCAAACAGG
rnacentral:rRNA from 1 species